rnacentral:rRNA from 1 species
GGGAAGUGCGAACGUAGAGGGUGAUAUUCCCGUACACGAAAGGGCACACAUAAUGAUGACGAGUAGGGCGAGGCACGUGAAACCUUGUCUGAAUAUGGGGGGACCAUCCUCCAAGGCUAAAUACUCCUGACUGACCGAUAGUGAACCAGUACCGUGAGGGAAAGGCGAAAAGAACCCCUGUGAGGGGAGUGAAAUAGAUCCUGAAACCGCAUGCAUACAAGCAGUGGGAGCACCUUCGUGGUGUGACUGCGUACCUUUUGUAUAAUGGGUCAGCGACUUAUAUUCAGUAGCGAGGUUAACCGUAUAGGGGAGCCGUAGAGAAAUCGAGUCUUAAUAGGGCGUUUAGUUGCUGGGUAUAGACCCGAAACCAGGCGAUCUAUCCAUGAGCAGGUUGAAGGUUGGGUAACACUAACUGGAGGACCGAACCCACUGUCGUUGAAAAGCCAGGGGAUGACUUGUGGAUAGGGGUGAAAGGCUAAUCAAGCCUGGUGAUAGCUGGUUCUCCCCGAAAGCUAUUUAGGUAGCGCCUCGGACGAAUACCAUAGGGGGUAGAGCACUGUUUCGGCUAGGGGGUCAUCCCGACUUACCAAACCGAUGCAAACUCCGAAUACCUAUGAGUACUAUCCGGGAGACAGACUGCGGGUGCUAACGUCCGUAGUCAAGAGGAAAACAAUCCAGACCGCCAGCUAAGGCCCCAAAAUCAUAGUUAAGUGGGAAACGAUGUGGGAAGGCAUAGACAGCUAGGAGGUUGGCUUAGAAGCAGCCACCCUUUAAAGAAAGCGUAAUAGCUCACUAGUCGAGUCGGCCUGCGCGGAAGAUGUAACGGGGCUAAAACUAUGUGCCGAAGCUGCGGAUGUAUACUUUGUAUACGUGGUAGGGGAGCGUUCUGUAAGCCGAUGAAGGUGUGUUGAGAAGCAUGCUGGAGGUAUCAGAAGUGCGAAUGCUGACGUGAGUAACGACAAAACGGGUGAAAAACCCGUUCGCCGAAAGACCAAGGGUUCCAGUCCAACGUUAAUCGGGGCUGGGUGAGUCGACCCCUAAGGCGAGGCCGAAAGGCGUAGUCGAUGGGAAAAUGGUUAAUAUUCCAUUACUUCUGUGUAAUGCGAUGAGAGGACGGAGAAGGCUAAAUCAGCCUGGCGUUGGUUGUCCAGGUGAAAGGAUGUAGGCAUGUAUCU